rnacentral:rRNA from 1 species
AGUGAACGCUGGCGGUAGGCCUAACACAUGCAAGUCGAACGGCAGCACAGGAGAGCUUGCUCUCUGGGUGGCGAGUGGCGGACGGGUGAGGAAUACAUCGGAAUCUACCUUUUCGUGGGGGAUAACGUAGGGAAACUUACGCUAAUACCGCAUACGACCUUCGGGUGAAAGCAGGGGACCUUCGGGCCUUGCGCGGAUAGAUGAGCCGAUGUCGGAUUAGCUAGUUGGCGGGGUAAAGGCCCACCAAGGCGACGAUCCGUAGCUGGUCUGAGAGGAUGAUCAGCCACACUGGAACUGAGACACGGUCCAGACUCCUACGGGAGGCAGCAGUGAGGAAUAUUGGACAGUGGGCGCAAGCCUGAUCCAGCCAUACCGCGUGGGUGAAGAAGGCCUUCGGGUUGUAAAGCCCUUUUGUUGGGAAAGAAUAGCAGCCAGUUAAUACCUGGUUGUUCUGACGGUACCCAAAGAAUAAGCACCGGCUAACUUCGUGCCAGCAGCCGCUGUAACAC